rnacentral:rRNA from 1 species
GCUGGCGGCGUGCCUAAUACAUGCAAGUCGAGCGAACAGAUAAGGAGCUUGCUCCUUUGACGUUAGCGGCGGACGGGUGAGUAACACGUGGGUAACCUACCUAUAAGACUGGGAUAACUUCGGGAAACCGGAGCUAAUACCGGAUAACAUUUGGAACCGCAUGGUUCUAAAGUGAAAGAUGGUUUUGCUAUCACUUAUAGAUGGACCCGCGCCGUAUUAGCUAGUUGGUAAGGUAACGGCUUACCAAGGCGACGAUACGUAGCCGACCUGAGAGGGUGAUCGGCCACACUGGAACUGAGACACGGUCCAGACUCCUACGGGAGGCAGCAGUAGGGAAUCUUCCGCAAUGGGCGAAAGCCUGACGGAGCAACGCCGCGUGAGUGAUGAAGGGUUUCGGCUCGUAAAACUCUGUUAUUAGGGAAGAACAAACGUGUAAGUAACUGUGCACGUCUG